ACUAUGUCUCAGUGCCGCUCAGAUGCUGGUGGAGAGAGGUCGGACCGAGGAACGCUAGUUGGACUUCCAUCGCUACGCUGCAUUUUACAGUCAGAUAAAUUCCUCAAAGUUCUCCCUGAAAGACAUUUUAUCGCUGGAAUUGCCAAUUUUGGAUAAACCGUGUUUGAGAGUUCAGGCGAAGGAUUUCUAUACGAGCAUUGUUUACAUUGCAAACCAAGUGGAUCACCAUGGAUUUAACAGGACCACUAUGGAUCACUUUUGUGGAAUAUAAAGAACAACUCGCUGCUUUUAAAAGUGCUUUUAAGUCCAUUUGUUUGUCUACUGGACCUCAGUGGACACAUGGGAAAUCAUUGUGGAUGGGGUUGAUGGCAAGGAAUGGAAUAUCUUGGGAUAUUAGCAGCUGGGAUGCUUGUGUUGCCCUCAAGGGACAUCUCCUGAUCACACAGUGCAAGACUCCCAAAUUCCAAGAGUGAGCUGUUAAUCGUCGUCACAGAUCCGACUGAUGAGAUCAGGUGAGCAUGAAGAAACUGGAAACAAGAUCUCAUGGAGUUCCCCAGGAUCAGACUAAAUCCUGGUUUGGACCGCGGGGACUUGCUUGACCAUCAGCAGAUGUUUUCUCCUGGCAAAGCGUCAGACGGCAUGUGCUCCAUCACUGACGAUCUCGCCCUCAAGAUCCAGCGUCUGCUACUUGGACCGAGGGAAGCUUUGACAUAAACCCAGCAGGACAGUGGAGAGGAUUCGAUUUCGCAGACGUUAUGAGACAGAUCCGUCAAGCCCUGUCUUGCGUUCGGAAAGGGAAGCCAAGUCGGCGAAUGUGCUGUAAGUGUACCUUCGUUAACCACAGUGGAUGGACAUAUUGUUUGACUUAUUCUACACUGAGCCUGGAUUAAUAUUUUCCCGUGUGGACAUCUGCUUUUCAUAAUGGCGCUCCAGCUCAAAAGCCGUCCGUGUCACAUCGACUGUAUUAUCCGGGAUACAUCAACAAGCGCUGGAACUGCGAAAGGAAAAUAAUCAGAAGUUACUUUCAUUCUUGUACGGAGACCUGAGCCAGUAUUUAGACCACUUGGACUGGUCAAGGCCAGACGAUUGAGGACUGAGCAGGAAAAAAACCCUCAACCGGACCAGUCCACUUAAUCUGAACCCAAUUCCUUGAUUUAGUACAGUUGAAAUAAAAUGAUCUGUUAUUUUGAAAUGUAGGGAUUAGGACAGGGGUCACCAAAUUUUUGGACUCGGGGGCCGCAUUGGGUUAAAAAAAUUUGGCAGGGUCCCACAUCAGGGCAAGAAAAAAAUCAACCCAAUGGGAUUACAAUGAGAAACCUUGGAGGGGACGCAGAUGUGGGGAUACCCCCCACCCCCUGGGCGACCGGUGCAAUGGACGUCGAGUGGAUCUAGCAUAAUAUUGUGAGAGUCCAGUCCAUAGUGGAUCUAACAUAAUAGUGUGAGAGUCCAGUCCAUAGUGGAUCUAGUUAAUAGUAUGAGAGUCCAGUCCAUAGUGGAUCUAACAUAAUAGUGUGAGAGUCCAGUCCAUAGUGGAUCUAGUUAAUAGUAUGAGAGUCCAGUCCAUAGUGGAUCUAACAUAAUUGUGUGAGAGUCCAGUCCAUAGUGGAUCUAGUUAAUAGUAUGAGAGUCCAGUCCAUAGUUGAUCUAGUUAGUAGUAUGAGAGUCCAGUCCGUGGGGCCAGCCUUAGAUCAUCUUGGGUGGAGACAAGUCAGCAGCGCGGAGAUGUCCCCAAUUGAUGCACAGAUGAGUGGUCCACCCCGGUUCCCGACUUUGAACAGCUAGCGCCUCAUCUGUGGUCACCUUUUCACACAUGAUAUAGACUUCAAAAUCAGGUAAUUCUCAAUCAAUCUGCUAGUGAUGGAACAUCCAUCCAUCCAUCCAUAUUCUACCGCUUGUUCCCUUAGGGGUCGCGGGGGGUGCUGGAGCCUAUCUCAGCUACAAUCGGGCGGAAGACUGGGUACACCCUGGACAAGUCGCCACCUCAUCACAGGGCCAACACAGAUAGACAGACAACAUUCAGACUCACAUUCACACACUAGGGCCAAUUAGAAAGAUCCCGCACAGGAUCGAACCCAGGACCUUCGUAUUGUGAGGCAGACGCACUAACCCCUCUGGGAACAUGUUUUAAAAUAAUAAAUGUAUUAUCAUUAACUAAAGAACACCAUGUCUUUAAAUAUUACAUUUCUAAUCCAUUUUAAGGCGCAGAACAAGCAAUACACAGAACUUCAAAGAGUACUAUUAGCCUGAUGCUAAUGAGGUGUCCUGGUUAAUCCACCAAUCAGAAAAACGUGACACUCACUGUUGACAAUGAAUCUUUACACUUACCUCAACUCUUUUGUUUUUUGUUUGUUUGUUUUUAUUCAGUGACACUUACUUCUCUGUAUGUUUGUGAUUUUUAUUUUUUUACAUUUUUUUAUUUAUUUUUUUAGUCGGUUCGUGUGAUUCUCUAUCUGCUUGUGGUGAAGAGGAAGGCAGUACUUGCUACCCACUGUGACUGAAAUGUAGGACGGAGGGUGUUAUUCUUAUUUUAUUUUUACACUUUUUGUAAUGGUUUUUUUUUUGUUGUAAUUUUUGUAUUUUAUUUGAAUUUUUUUAUUUGUAUUUUAUUCAUUUUUUUCCAUUUUUUUUUUUUUGGGGUGGGGGGAAGUCUCGUUUUUCUCAGUACCUGUAUUAUGAUUUCCCUAUCAAAUGCUUAAAUAAAUAUUAUAAAAAUAAAAAUAAAAAGUAUGUAAACACAAAAAUCAUUGUACAAAAAGCUACCAUUUUAAAUAUGGCAAAAUAAAAAAAAUUGAAAAUUAUAUGUUAAAACUAAUUAAUAAUAACCGAAUUGUUUUAAAAUCAUGUAUAAAUUAUGUGAGCCUUUUUCAAGAAAAUCAUAGCAAUUUAUGCAAAUUCCUUGAUGACAUCAUAGUGACCACACCCAUAACGGCGCCCCCACCACCACAGGUAUAUGGCAGUUUAGGAGAAAACCCUGAACUUACAGUUGAUGUCUUUAAAGUAAUAAUGUAAACAUCCAGCCUAACAAGUGUAAAACUUUAGUGUAUUUCAAAUUUCCCCAUAUGGGAAUCAGUGUCUUCUACAGUGGUUUGAGGAUGUAUCAAAGAGCUUUUUUAGCUUCCUUGUAUUUCCCGUGUUGAACAUGUUUGGGGUGAUUUCCUUAAGUGUCUAUUUAUCUACUUGUGUAUUUGAUUUUGUAACAAUCAUUCCACACACAUUGUGUU